rnacentral:rRNA from 1 species
AGCUCUCCGAGUGGUGUGGAUGUUUAUUGGGCCUAAAGCAUCCGUAGCUGGCUAAGUUAGUCCCUUGUUAAAUCCACCGAAUUAAUCGUUGGAUUGCGGGGGAUACUGCUUGGCUAGGGGACGAGAGAGGCAGACGGUAUUUUUGGGGUAGGGGUGAAAUCCUAUAAUCCCAGGAAGACCACCAGUGGCGAAGGCUGUCUGCUAGAACGCGCCCGACGGUGAGGGAUGAAAGCUGGGGGAGCGAACU